CAGACGUUGGGAUCUAGCAAAUGUCUGGAGCAACUAGAAAUGGCAGAAUAAUGGCACCUUUCCUUGAGAUGUAGACUGUCUUUGAACAUUAUAUUGGUCUCAGCUUGGGAACUGAAAAUCACUUGUAAUGAAUUCAAUUUCUUUAAUCUGUGAACUCAGAGUUAAUGCAGGGGCCUGGAUAUAAGACCACAGCCAUCUAAAUAAUCCUCCAGAAAUAAACCAAUGAAAUUGUUCACUAAUGCUUUCCCUGGCAGUGUUAAGUUGGCUGUAAAGGAAUGUACGGGUACAAUAAUUGUAUGUGGUAUUUUCAUCUUAUAAGACAUGGUUAUUCUGGGAACUUUCUGGAAUGACGUAAAGGAUAAGAAAUCAUUCAGCCUUUUGGACAACAUGAUCUAACAGACUGCUCAUGCUGAGUCAUUUGUGCUACUCUUGGGAAGAGAAAAACAGACUUGAGUGUUGUCAUCAUGGAGUAAACAGGUAGAAACAAGACUACUUUAGUAGAGUAUGGAAAUUCCAGUGUAUGGAAUCCUAACUUUCCCACGGAGUUCUUUUUUGUUAUUACUAUUAUUUUU
rnacentral:lncRNA from 1 species